GCCCUGCUAGCUCAGUCAAUAGAGCAUGAGACUCCUAAUCUCAAGAUUGUGGGUUUGAGUCCCAUGUUGGGCG